GGCUGCAGUCCAUGGGGUUGCUAAGGGUCUGAAAUAACUGAGCAACUUCACUUUCACUUUUCACUUUCAUGCGUUAGAGAAGGAAAUGGCAACCCACUCCAGUGUUCUUGCCUGGAGAAUCCCAGGGACAGAGGAGCCUGGUGGGCUGCCGUCUAUGGGGUCGCACAGAGUCAGACACGACUGAAGCAACUUAGCAGCAGCAGCAGCAGCAGCAGCAGUCUGGAGUUCACUAGAUAAAGAGAUUCAGCUUCAAAGACGCUUGUGUGCUGCUGUAGCUUCAACCAAGAAAGAGUAUCGUGAAAAUACAAACUCAACCAACCAGACCUCAUUCAGGACAAAUUCACCAGGGACUCUUCCUGACUCAGGGAUCAAACCCAGGUUUCCUGCAUUGCAGGCAGACCCUCUCCUGACUGAGCCACCGGGGAAGCCCUAUGACAAGAAUAAUCUAAGACCUUCAACAAGAUUUUGCAAUGAUAUAUUGUGAUCAUGUGCGGCUAUAUUUGAAUUACCAAGAUGAGUCUAUUUGAGAUAAUUGAUCGUGUUCAUUGAGAGUUUUCUUUGUGUUCAAAAUGCUUCUAAGCUCUUUAUGUUUUACCUCAUUUAUUCCUUACAAUUACUUUAGAAGUUAGUUACUCUUACAUUUUACAGAUGGAAACACUGAAGUAUCUAGUAGUUAAGGUGUGUGGGUGGUUCGGUGGUAGGAUUCAUGCCGGCCAGAAGUGACAGAAGGCCUGGGUUGGAUUUCCAGUCCAUGCAGCCAUAGCGCCUCCUUUCAGGUUUCCCAGAUGGUGCAAGUGGUAAAGAACUCAUCUGCCAGUAAAGGAGGCUAAGCGAUGCGAGUUCAGUCUCUGGGUUGGAAAGAUCCCCUAGAGGCUGGCAUGGCAACCCACUCCAGUGUUCUUGCCUGGACAACCCCAUGACAGAGGAGCCUGGCACAGAGCUGGUCACACACAGCUCUGUGUGACCAUAGGGUCACACAGAGUUGGACAUGACUGUAGCAACUUAGCAUGCACGCAUGUGUAGUAGUUC
rnacentral:lncRNA from 1 species